rnacentral:lncRNA from 10 species
GUUGUUAUUUUUUUCUUAUUUCGGGUAGUAAGCAUCUGAAAUAAUAAAAUAGAAACAAGAAAAUAAAGCGAUGCAUAACCUGAUCUCCAGAGAUACAUGCUAAUAUUUCAGGGUAUAUCCUCCUAGUGUUUCUUCUUUGCAUAUGUAAAUAGAUAUUUCUUCCAAAUUGAAAAUAUAUACAAUAUAUAUUUUUCUACUCUGAUUUUUAAAUCUUUUUUUUUAACUUUUAGGUUCAGGUGUACAUAUGCAUGUUUGUUACAUAGGUAAAUUACGUGUCACAGGGGUUUGGUAAACAAAUUAUUUCUCACCCAUAUAAUAAGCAUAGUACCGUGUCUGGAAUUGGUGGGUUCUUGGUCUCACUGACUUCAAGAAUGAAGCCGUGGACCCUCGCGGUGAGUGUUAGCAGUUCUUAAAGGCGGCGUGUCCAGAGUUUGUUCCUUCUGAUGUUCGGAUGUGUUCAGAGUUUCUUCCUUCUGGUAGGUUCGUGGUCUCGCUGGCUCAGGAGUGAAGCUGCUGACCUUCGCAGUGAGUGUUACAGCUGUUAAGGCGAUGCCUCUGGAGUUGUUCGUUUCUUCCGGUGGGUUCGUGGUCUCGCUGGCUUCAGGAGUGAAGCUGCAGACCUUCACGGUGAGUUUACAGCGCAUAAAGGCAGUGUGGACCCAAAGAGUGAGCAACAGCAAGAUUCAUUGCAAAGAGCGAAAGAACAAAGCUACCACAGUGUGGAAGGAGACCCAGCAGGUUGCCAUUGCUCUCUGGGGCAGCCUGCUUUUAUUCUCUUAUCUGGCCCCACCCACAUCCUGCUGAUUGGCCCAUUUUACAAGAGACGAUUGGUCCGUUUUGACAGGGUGCUGACUGGUGCAUUUACAAUCCCUGAGCUAGACACAAAAGUUCUCCAAGUCCCCACUAGAUUAGCUAGAUAGAGUGUCCACACAAAGGUUCUCCAAGUCCCCACCAGAGUAGCUAGAUACUGAGUGUCAAUUGCUGCAUUCACAAACCCUGAGCUAGACACAGGGUGCUGAUUGGUGUGUUUACAAACGUUGAGUUAGAUACAGAGUGCCGAUUGGUGUAUUUACAAUCCAUUAGCUAGACAUAAAGGUUCUCCAAGUCCCCACCAGAGUAGCUAGAUACAGAGUGUGGAUUGGUACAUUCAUAAACCCUGAGCUAGACAAAGGGUGCUGAUUGGUGUGUUUACGAACCUUGAGCUAGAUACAGAGUGCCCAUUGGUGUAUUUACAAUACCUUAGGUAGACAUAAAGGUUCUCCAAGUCCCCGCCAGACUCAGACGCCCAGCUGGCUUCACCCAGUGGAUCCCACACGGUGGCCACAGGUGGAGCUGCCUGCCAGUCCCAAGCCCUGAGCCCGCACUCCUCAGCCUUUGGGUGGUCCAUGGGACUGGGUGCCAUGGAGCAGGGGGCGGGGCUCGUCCGGGAGGCUCCAGGGGCACAGCAGCCCACGGCAGGUGGCGGUGAGGCUCAGGCAUGGCGGGCUGCAGGUCCCAAGCCCUGCCCCGCAAGGAGGAGCUAAGGCCCUGCGAGAAAAGGAGGCAGCUAAGGCCCGGUGAGAAGUCGAGCACAGCAGCUGCUGGCCCAGGGGCUAAGCCCCUUACUGCCCGGCUGGCGGGGCCGGCUGGCUGCUCCGAGUGUGGGGGCCCGCCGAGCCCACGCCCAUCCAGAGCUCACGCUGGCUCACAAGCGGCACGCACAGCCCCGGUUCCCGCCUACGCCUCUCCCUCCUCACAUCCGGGCAAGCUGAGGGAGCCGGCUCCGGCCUUGGCCAGCCCAGGAAGGGGCUCCCCCAGUGCAGCCGCCGGCUGAAGGGCUCCCCAAGUGCCGCCAGAGUGGGCGCGGAGGCCGAAGAGGCACCGAGAGCGAGCGAGGGCUGUGAGGGCCGCCAGCAAGCUGUCACCUCUCAGUACCGCACAGGUUCAAACUUCAAAGCUUGUCAAUUUGGAAUAUGCAGAGUGCUUGAUGCCAAGAAGUAUCAAUUUAGGAUGCCACUUGCCUAAAUACCGAUCAAAUAAUAUUCAAUAACAAAAUGAUACAAACCUACAAAAGGAAGGGCACAGGACAGGAAGAAGUAUGAACAAGAAAAAAAAAAUAGGCUGGGUGCGGUGGCUCACGCCUGUAAUCCCAGCACUUUGGGAGGCUGAGGUAAGCAGAUCAUGAGGUCAGGAGAUUGAGACCAUCCUGGCCAACAGGGUGAACCUCGUCUCUACCAAAAAUACAAAAAUUAGCUGGGUGUGGUGCCGCGCGCUUGUGUCCCAGCUGCUCUGGAGGCUGAAGCAGGAGAAUUGCUUGAAGCCGGGAGGUGGAGGUUGCAGUGAGCCAAGAUCGUGCCACUGCACUCCAGCCUAGUGACAGAGCGAGACUCCGUCUCAAAAACAAACAAACAAAAAAAAAAAACUGGCCCAAAACUGAUAAAAAUGCAGUCUGAAUAAGUAGAGCAAAAGGCGCAGAAAAUGUUUCCUCUUAGAAGAGGCCUUGAAGACUUUAUAUCUGAGAACUAAAUAUAGCAAUUUUAUUAAGUUAUAUAUAAUAAUAUUGAGAUUUUAAAAUACAGUGAUGGAAAAACUAGAACACUUAAAGAUAGAACAGCCAACUUCUCAUCAGAAAUAUGAAAGUUAUAAGGCAAAUAGUUUUCACAGUAUAGUUCUAGAACCAGCAAUAUUGGCAUCACUUUGAACAUGAUUAGAAAUUCAAACUCUCAAGACCUACCCAGAUCCACUGAUUUGGAAACUAUAUCAGUAAUCUGGUUUUUUUAAUAAUUUUUUUAAUUUGUAAUUUUUUAAUUAUUAUUUUUGUAGAGACGAGGUCUUGCUGAGUUGCCUAAGCUGGUCUUGAACUCCUGGACUCAAGUGAUCCUCCUACCUCGGCCUCCCAAAAGCAGCAAUCUAUGUUUUAACAGACUCUCCCUGUGAUUCUCAUGUGUGUUUAUGUUUGAGAACCACUGCUUCAAGACAAUGAGGUCCUUAUCUACCUGCUAGAGCCGGGGAUGUUUACUAAUGGACUGAUAUAUUACCUAAGAUUUCGGCUAUGAUUUAAUACAGAUAUGAGAAGAAAUAUGAUGUUCAUUUUAAGAUGACUCAGAUAGUGUUAACUAGGGAUGGAUUAAAUUGAGAGCCCAGGCUGGAGUGCAGUGGCGUGAUCUUGGCUCACUGCAAGUUCCCAUCUCCAGAGUUCACACCAUUCUGCUGCCUCAGACUCCGGAGUAGCUGGGACUCAGGAGCACGCCACCACGCUCGGCUAAUUUUUUUGUGUUUUUUUUAGUAGAGAUGGGGUUUCACCGUGUUAGCCAGGAUGGUCUCGAUCUCCUGACCUUGUGAUCCGCCCGCCUCAGCCUCUCAAAGUGCUGGCAUUAGAGGCGUGAGCCACUGCACCCUGCCUAAAUUGAAAGUUUACGGAAUCUGGGCUGGGCACGGUGGCUUAUGCCUGUAAUCCCAGUACUUUGGGAGGCUGAGGCAGGCGGAUCACUUUAGGUCAAGAGCUUGAGACCAGCCUGGCCAAUAUGGUGAGACCCCGUCUCUGCUAAAAAAAUAUAAAAAUUAGCUGGGCAUGGUGGUCACCUGUAAUCCCAGAUACUUGAGAGGCUGAGGAAGGAGAAUCGCUUGAACCCAGGAGGUGGAGGUUGCCGUGAGCCGAGAUUGCACCACUGCACUCCAGCCUAGGCAACAAAGUGAGACUCUGUCUCUAAAUAAAUAAAUAAACAAAUAAAAAGGUUUACUGAAUCUGAAAUGUUUGUGAUCCAGGCAAAAAGUGCUAAAUAUCUAAUACAGGGAAGUAAUUGGGAGCUCUGUUCUUUCUGCUCAAAUUUUCUGUUAACAUAAACUGCUCUAACAAAUAAUAUAUUACUUUUGAAAAUGUACUGUAUUUUAAUCUGCUGUGGGUUGCCUUUAACAACAUGAAUGGAUACUUAAUAAGAAAAUGUCAUUUUAAUCAUUUAUUGGCUUUUUAAAAAAUAUAUAUGUAAUAGAAAUUUAUAUCCUAAAAUAUAUCCUUUUGCUUUAGAAUGAUGGCAGAGCUAUAUAACUUUGGCAAAUUUGGGUGGAUUAUAUUCGAAUCACUAAUUGCUAAUACUAAAUUAUCUCACUAGACCUUUUAACACUGUGUUUGUUUUUUGUUUUUGUUUUUUGUCUUUUUUUGCAUAUUGCUUUUAUUUUGCAGAAAAUGUUUUGCUGAUUGUCUUUGGCUAUUUUGUCAGAAGAAAAAUAUAACUGUUAUAAGUUUAACAAUACAAGAUACAAUUACAUGUGCUCAAAAUAAACUCAUUCUAAUGGACUGAAUGGUGAAAUUUCCAUUUCAACUAAAAUCUGUUGUUCUACACAAUGGAUUGAUUAUAUCCUUAACAGCUCAAUUACUAUCUGAAAAGUACUCUAAAGCUAUAAGAAAUAGAAUUAAGUGUGAUUUCAUGUCACUAAAGUAAGAUCAGUGGAGUUUAUAAAUGUUAAUAUGUCCAAGUCAUCUGUAUGCUAUUAUUAGAAAUAAAAAAUAAAUUUCUGGACCCUAGCAAAUAUAUGUUUAUAAUGAAUUAAUAAUAACAAAUUAGGC